UACGUAGGGGGCUAGCGUUAUCCGGAAUUACUGGGCGUAAAGGGUGCGUAGGCGGUCUUUCAAGCCAGAAGUGAAAGGCUACGGCUCAACCGUAGUAAGCUUUUGGAACUGUAAGACUUGAGUGCAGGAGAGGAGAGUGGAAUUCCUAGUGUAGCGGUGAAAUGCGUAGAUAUUAGGAGGAACACCAGUAGCGAAGGCGGCUCUCUGGACUGUAACUGACGCUGAGGCACGAAAGCGUGGGGAGCAAACAGGAUUAGAUACCCGCGUAGUCCCU
rnacentral:rRNA from 1 species